rnacentral:rRNA from 1 species
GAUGAACGCUGGCGGCGUGCUUAACACAUGCAAGUCGAACGAAGCUACUUUAUUUGAUUUUCUUCGGAAAUGAAGAUUUUGUGACUGAGUGGCGGACGGGUGAGUAACGCGUGGAUAAUCUGCCUUUCAGAGGGGGAUAACGAUUGGAAACGAUCGCUAAUACCGCAUAACGUAUUUUGAGGGCAUCCUUAAAAUACCAAAGGAGCAAUCCGCUGAAAGAUGAGCUCGCGUCUGAUUAGAUAGUUGGUGAGGUAACGGCCCACCAAGUCGACGAUCAGUAGCCGGACUGAGAGGUUGAACGGCCACAUUGGGACUGAGAUACGGCCCAGACUCCUACGGGAGGCAGCAGUGGGGAAUAUUGGGCAAUGGGGGAAACCCUGACCCAGCAACGCCGUGUGAAGGAAGAAGGCUUUCGGGUUGUAAACUUCUUUUACCAGGGACGAAGGACGUGACGGUACCUGGAGAAAAAGCCACGGCUAACUACGUG